GCCUUCUUAGCUCAGUGGUAGAGCGUUGCACUUGUACAAUCGGCACGUGACAUAUGCAAAGGUCAGUCGUUCAAUCCGGCUAGGAGGCA
rnacentral:tRNA from 1 species